rnacentral:rRNA from 1 species
CAAUAGCGCAUACUAAUGUUGUUGCAGUUAAAAAGCUCGUAGUUGAACUUCUGGUAGGAGUGUCCCGGCCUUUUUGUUUUUACAAAUUGUAUGCUGUGUGACAUCUCUGGCCAUCCUUCUUCUUUGUUUAAAGAAGAUCUUUCACUGUAAAAAAAUUAGGGUGUUCAAAGCAAAAGUUUCUUUGGAAUAUAUUAGUAUGGGAUGAUAAGAUAGGCUCUAGAUGCUAUUUUGUUGGUUUGCACAUUUAGAGAAUGAUUAACAGGGACAGUUGGGGGUAUUCGUAUUUACAUGUCAGAGGUGAAAUUCUUGGAUUUUGGAAAGACGAACUACUGCGAAAGCAUUUACCAAGGAUGUUUUCAUUAA